rnacentral:rRNA from 1 species
CCUACGGGUGGCAGCAGUGAGGAAUAUUGGGCAAUGGGGGCAACCCUGACCCAGCCAUGCCGCGUGAGUGAAGAAGGUCUUCGGAUUGUAAAGCUCUUUCGGACGUGACGAUGAUGACGGUAGCGUCUAAAGAAGCACCGGCUAACUUCGUGCCAGCAGCCGCGGUAAUACGAAGGGUGCGAGCGUUGGUCGGAAUUACUGGGCGUAAAGUGAGUGGAGGCGGUUAUGUAAGAUAGAGGUGAAAUGCCGGGGCUCAACCCCGGAACUGCCUUUAUGACUAUGCAUCUAGAGUAAUGUAGAGGAUAGUGGAAUACCCAGUGUAGAGGUGAAAUUCGUAGAUAUGGGGUAGAAUACCGGUGGCGAAGGCGGCUAUCUGGCCAUAUACUGACGCUGAGGCUCGAAAGCAUGGGGAGCAAACAGGAUUAGAUACCCGAGUAGUC